AGCUGAAGGCAGACGCUUGACCGAUUGAGCCACCCAGGCGCUCCUGGUCUCUAUGUAUUUUUAUCAGUUCUGAAUUUUUCUGGGAAAUCUUUCACAUUCUUUCUUAGAUCCAAGGUCUAUAUACAUAAUGUGAUUUAUAACUAUGCCCUAUGGAAAGAGCACCCCAUUCUUGUCUUUUUGUGUUACAGAUUUCUCUUGUACAAUUUCUCAUUGAAAAUUGCCUUAAAAUAUUUGGAGAAGACAUCACUUCCCUCUUGGGAGAGAACUCAAUGAGUCGUGGUAACAGCGAGCAGGCUGCAGACUCCAGCCUGAAGACUGUGAAAACCCGUUCUUUCAGAGAUAGGGCGUUUUGUCGGGGUUCCAGCACUUCCCAGCACAACCAGUGCACAGCCCCACCUUCUGCAAAGCCAGGACAGCUCUUUGGAGUUCCCCUCAUGGAUGUGUGUGAUAAAGACAACUUCUCCUUCCCAAUUCUGG